rnacentral:rRNA from 1 species
ACACUCCUACGGGAGGCAGCAGUGGGGAAUAUUGCACAAUGGGCGCAAGCCUGAUGCAGCCAUGCCGCGUGUAUGAAGAAGGCCUUCGGGUUGUAAAGUACUUUCAGCGGGGAGGAAGGCAAUACGGUUAAUAACCGUGUUGAUUGACGUUACCCGCAGAAGAAGCACCGGCUAACUCCGUGCCAGCAGCCGCGGUAAUACGGAGGGUGCAAGCGUUAAUCGGAAUUACUGGGCGUAAAGCGCACGCAGGCGGUCUGUCAAGUCGGAUGUGAAAUCCCCGGGCUCAACCUGGGAACUGCAUUCGAAACUGGCAGGCUUGAGUCUUGUAGAGGGGGGUAGAAUUCCAGGUGUAGCGGUGAAAUGCGUAGAGAUCUGGAGGAAUACCGGUGGCGAAGGCGGCCCCCUGGACAAAGACUGACGCUCAGGUGCGAAAGCGUGGGGAGCAAACAGGAUUAGAAACCCCUGUAGUCCC